rnacentral:rRNA from 1 species
CUUGUCUCAAAGAUUAAGCCAUGCAUGUCUAAGUAUAAGCAAUUAUACCGCGAAACUGCGAAUGGCUCAUUAAAUCAGUCAUCGUUUAUUUGAUAGUACCUUACUACAUGGAUACCUGUGGUAAUUCUAGAGCUAAUACAUGCUAAAAGCCCCGACUUCAGGAAGGGGUGUAUUUAUUAGAUAAAAAACCAACGCCCUUCGGGGCUCCUUGGUGAAUCAUAAUAGCUUAACGAAUCGCAUGGCCUUGCGCCGGCGAUGGUUCAUUCAAAUUUCUGCCCUAUCAACUUUCGAUGGUAGGAUAGUGGCCUACCAUGGUGGCAACGGGUAACGGAGGGUUAGGGCUCGACCCCGGAGAAGGAGCCUGAGAAACGGCUACUACAUCCAAGGAAGGCAGCAGGCGCGCAAAUUAUCCAAUCCCGACACGGGGAGGUAGUGACAAUAAAUACUGAUACGGGGCUCUUUUGGGUCUCGUAAUUGGAAUGAGAACAAUUUAAAUCCCUUAACGAGGAACAAUUGGAGG